GACGAACGCUGGCGGCGUGCUUAACACAUGCAAGUCGAACGGAAAGGCCCUGCUUUUGUGGGGUGCUCGAGUGGCGAACGGGUGAGUAACACGUGAGUAACCUGCCCUUGACUUUGGGAUAACUUCAGGAAACUGGGGCUAAUACCGGAUAGGAGCUCCUGCUGCAUGGUGGGGGUUGGAAAGUUUCGGCGGUUGGGGAUGGACUCGCGGCUUAUCAGCUUGUUGGUGGGGUAGUGGCUUACCAAGGCUUUGACGGGUAGCCGGCCUGAGAGGGUGACCGGCCACAUUGGGACUGAGAUACGGACCAGACUCCUACGGGAGGCAGCAGUGGGGAAUAUUGCACAAUGGGCGGAAGCCUGAUGCAGCGACGCCGCGUGCGGGAUGACGGCCUUCGGGUUGUAAACCGCUUUCGCCUGUGACGAAGCGUGAGUGACGGUAAUGGGUAAAGAAGCACCGGCUAACUACGUG
rnacentral:rRNA from 1 species